UUUUAUGUCAUUGACUAAAAACGAUCCAAAAUGGAAACUCCAGUCCCCCACCCUUGGCAGCCGUUCUCUUAUUAUUAUUUUUUGUUUAUACAAUAAACCUCUUGAAAAGGGUUUUAAACUCUUUGGUUUCUUAAACCCUUUGCCUCAUUUCUACAGUAUUAUACAUAAUGGGAAAGAAAGCAGGAAAGUUCAAGAAGAAGGAAAACAACAACGCUCCAAAAAAAAAAGCAAAACGUGAUUUUUAAAAUGAAGAUGAUGAUAUGAUGAUAUGAUGAAUGAUGCUAUCGAUGCCUGUAUAGAUAAUCAGUUGAUGAGCCCUCAUAAUAGACGAUAUUGGUAUUCAGCAAAGGAUCGGAAAGACUCCACCUCAUUCGGAGUGCAGUCGAGUCUAUAAGUCAUCGUGUCAGAGUUUUUCAACAGAUUUACGGGUAGGCCGGUACCCUGUCCCAUUUGAUGUUAGUUAAUCUUAGAGGCUUUACAGACAGAGGUUCAUUUUGUACAGUACGUCAGAGACUUGAAGGCCCCUAUGUAUUCGUGUUUUAAGAAAAAUAAUUCAGGGAUACAGUAUUUUCCCACUUACAGUUGUAUAUUAUGAGUUGUGGCCAUGUUGGCCCAUGAUAGUUACAAAGAAAAUAAAAGAGUUGCAGAGUGGUUCGCUUGGACCAGUGUGGCUUCGAGUGCCAGUCACGCCUCCCAAGAUUUGGGGCGUGACAAUAUGCUUUUAACACUAAGUAGGAAAUGAGAGGUCUGUGGGAGUAUCCGGAAGAACAAGUAGCAAGUUGCAUAAGGCCAUGGUAGGUUAUUGGUGAUUUCAACCCUGUGUUAAAUAUAGGAUAGAAUAUGAGGAAAUCCUGUUUCAUGGGAUGAAAUAGUGGAGUUUAAUAAUUGUACAGAAGCAUGUAGAUUGACUGUUCUUCCUAAUCAAGGGUGCAGAUAUUUAUGGAAUGACAGACAUAGUGAUCAAAGAAUUUACUCUAAGAUAGAUUAGGCAUUCAUUAACAAUGAAUGGCUUGAUUCAAUGCCUGAUUGUAAAGCUAUGUUUCUUCCUAAGGCACAAGUGACCAUUGUCCAGUGAAGGUAGUGCUGAACAAUGAGAGACAUAAAGGUAGGAAAUCUUUUAAGUUUUGCUAUGUAUGGACUCAACAUCCACAAUUCUUGGAGCAGGUUGGGAGGGGUUGGAAUAUAGAGAUUGAUAGCUGAAAAAUGCUAAGAGUGGUUAGAAAAUUGAAAUUAUUAAAGAAGAUUCUGAGAGGCUUUAAUAAGAACUUCUUCAAGAAUAUUGAGGAUGAAGCCAAGGAGGAUAGGAAAGCUUUAUUGCAAGUUCAGAAGCAGAUACAACUUAGACCAACAGAUCCAAACUUACAACAAGAAGAAAAUUAGAAGUAUCAAAAGUUCAGGCAUUCAUCUUACUUAGCCGAGGUCUACUUGCAACAAAAAAGUAAAGCUACAUGGAUAAAGUUGGGGGAUGACAACACAAGAUACUUUUAUUCAGUAAUCAAACACAAAAGGCUCCAACAAGCAAUUACUCAAUUGAAGGAUGAACAGGAUACCUAAAAGACAGAUCCAGACAAUAUAGCUUAAAUAUUUGUCACAUAUUAUGAAGACAUGCUGGGAAACAAAGCAAGCAGUAGAUCCAAAGCAGCUGAAGCAUUCAUAAAGAAUGGUCAUGUUUUAACAACUGAACAAAAGGUAGAUGUAAUGAAACUUUUUGAAAGGAAGGGGGUGAAAGCUACUAUGUUUCAAAUUGACAGUAAUAAGAACCCAAGCCCUGAUGAUUAUGGCAAUGGCUUCUUUAAGUCGGCUUGGCCUAUUAUAGGGGAAGAGAUUACAGAUGCAGUUCUGGAGUUGUUCAAUAAUGGAAAGUUGUUGAAACAAUUAAAUGCAACUAGUAUUGCUUUGAUUCCUAAACUAAGCAAUCCAAAGUAUGCUAUCCAAUUUAGGCCUAUAUCCUGUUGCAAUGUAUUGUACAAGUGCAUUUCAAAAUUGUUGUAGCAGACUAAAAAUGGGUGUUCAACUUCUGGUAACAGAUAAUCAAUCUGCUUUUAUACCUGGUAGAUCUAUGCUCCACAAUAUACUUAUAUGCCAUGAUAUACUAAGGCACUAUAACAGAAAGACUACUCAUAGGUGUCUUAUGAAGAUAGACCUGAGGAAAGGUUAUGAAAUGGUAAAUUGGGAAUUCUUAUAGAAUGUUCUGAUUCAUUAUGGCUUUCCAACCAAGUUCACAAAAUUGGUUAUGACAUAUGUAAUUUCUACCAAGUUCUCAAUUAAUAUAAAUGGUGAAAAGUCGUAGUUUCUUUGAGGGUAAAAGGGGUCUCAGACAAGGUGAUCCCAUCUUACCCUUACUAUUUGUUCUUGUAAUGGAAUAUUUGUCCAAAACAUUGGGCAGUAUGAGUUCCCUACCAGAUUUUAAAUUUCAUCCUAUGUACAAGCAAUUGAAGUUGACACAUCUAGUAUUUGUUGAUGAUCUCAUGGUGUUCUGCAAGGGAGAAACAUGCUCAGUAAAUAGAGUCCUAGAGGCUUUAGCACAUUUCAGUAGUGUAUCAGGACUGGUGGCUAAUAUGGACAAAUCUAGCAUGUUUAUGGCAGACAUUGAUGAUCAUAUGAAGGAAAGUCUUUUAAGCAACAUUGGUUUCUCCCUAGGUACUUUUCCUAUAAGGGAGGCUUCAGGUGGUUAAUGCAGAGCUAUUCUCAAUUCAUAGCUUCUGGGGAGCAGUCUUUGUUUUACCUCAGAGUCUUUGUUUUACAAGAAGUGCAGAGAGUGCCUGUGGGGUGGCUCAGAUGAGAAGAAGAAGUUUUACCUUAUUGCGUAGGAGAAAGUGUGUCUGCCUAAGAAGUUUGGUAGUCUCAACAUUAAUAGUUGUAGGGAAUGGAAUAAAGCUUCUAUUGGGAAGUUACUGUGGCAGCUUAUUAUGAAAAAGGAUUCCUUAUAGGUCAAAUGGAUCCAUGAGAUCUAUAUGAAGUCUAAUAUUAAUAUUUGGACUCAUAAGGUUUAACAUGAGUGUAGUUGGUAUUAGAGAAAACUAAGUUCUCUUAUGGAAGAGAUGAGGAAUCGGGAACUAGGGUGACACUUACAAGCUGAGUGUCAUGGGAAUUACUCAAUCACAUGGAGUUAUUUAGCUAUUAAAGGUCAUCAGAGGAGAUGUCCAACAACUGAUCUUCACUGGAAUGCAAUAGCCCAAAGCAUAAGAUCAUCAUGUGGUUAGCUACUUAAGGAAGAAUACUCGCUAAGGCUAGACUGAGUUCUCUUCACAUUCAGGUGGAUGAAGAUAAAUGUGUGUUAUGUAAUGAUCAGGUAGUGGAAACUAAUCAACACGUGUUUGAAGAGUGUCCUUGGUCCAAAGCUGUUCAAGAGGAACUAAUGCACUAGGCAGGAAUUCAAAUGCAACCGUGAGAUGCACAAAGGGUUCUGUACAUAAUCAAAAGAAAGAAUUGGCAGCUGGUAAAUAAGGAAGUUAUUGUUGCAUUAUGGGCAGCAAUAAUAUAUCAUAUUUGGAAGGCUAGGAACUGGAAAACUUUUAGGAUUACAAUUGUAAAUAUUGAGAGUAUAAUAAUACAUAUUAAGAAAGAGCUAGUAGAUAGGAUUGGAUUGUUUAGACAAACUAAGAAAAGUCAGAGAUGUAGUGUACUGAUACAAAGGUUGAUGUGUAACUAGUGAUUUUCUAAGUCCUGAUCUGAAGCUCCCCAGAUAAGGAGUUUUGGGGUCUAGGUGCUUACUAGGUGUACUCUUAUUGUUUGUUACCAAUGGUA